ACCAUUUUAUUUAUGGGAAAAAAAGACAAGAAGGCCUCUAACAAGUGGGUAGCUGACAUAAUAACCCAUUUGCCCCUCACAUCUACCACCAAAAACUUCUUGGAGAAGAUGAGGAGGGCUUAUGAAUUUCUUUUGACUAAGGAACCGCAGCCCAACACUGACCCAUCAGCAGAGCCUGAUAACCCCACCAUGGAGCAGGGUGACAGCCCCGUCGAGGGUAUGGGCCACAGCCAGGACGAGGAGCAGCACAGCAGCCUCGCCAUGGAGCAACGUGACCACACCUAGGAGACUGUAUUUGUCCUGAACCUUGUCCCUUGUCCGUCUCUCUCUUCUUCUUCUUGUUCUACCUCUACCACUGUUGCAGCAAUGAAGAAGAGGAAGAGAGGAAAUGACUCCCAGUUAAAAAAGGAGGGGCUUAAGAAGAAAAAGGGUUGUCGAAAAUGUAGUAGACAGAAAAUAUUCCAGUUUGGCUCAAUUUCUGGGAGAAGGAUACAUGAGUGGCAAAACCUGGGAUGACACAUGGGAGCCUGCAAACACAUUUGCACAACAACACCACACUGCCACCCCUGAGUCUCCUCCUCCUUCUGGUUCAGUUAGCUGAACCUAACUGGUUGGGCUCUACUCACAGCAGGGGAAAAGAGACAAUCGACAGAAAUGACUGACACUGAGCUCAAAUCAAAUACUGUGCUGCAACACGUGUCUUUUGUGUUUAUUGAAGGAAUGUGUUCAUGGA